UGAGGAAUAUUGGUCAAUGGGCGAGAGCCUGGACCAGCCAAGUAGCGUGCAGGAAGACGGCCCUACGGGUUGUAAACUGCUUUUAUGAAGGAAUAAAGUCACCCACGUGUGGGUGUUUGCAUGUACUUUAUGAAUAAGGACCGGCUAAUUCCGUGCCAGCAGCCGCGGUAAUACGGAAGGUCCGGGCGUUAUCCGGAUUUAUUGGGUUUAAAGGGAGCGUAGGCCGCCUGGUAAGCGUGUUGUGAAAUGUCGUUGCUCAACAACGUCACUGCAGCGCGAACUGCC
rnacentral:rRNA from 1 species